rnacentral:lncRNA from 1 species
AAAAAAAAACGCAGCUCUGUGGAUCCUAGUGUGGUCUCUUUGUAUGUCAGUUAGUGAGUAGAAUGUUGAAUGUGAUCAUCUUAAGAUGUUCCAUUUCCUGUACACAGUCGUAACAGGGCAGGGAGGGAGAGCGUGCACAGCAUACAAGUCUUUUCAAGCAGUUGGAUGCUACACCUGUGACCCCAGCCCUGUGACUGCUGUCCAGAAACAAACAUGAAGUCCAAGCGGAUAUUUGCGUCAACUGUCCUACUGACCCAAGUCCUGGAGACAGGUAACUUGAAAUUACCUAUGUUAGCAGCAUUUGUAAAUCAGACUAACAUUUGCGAGAUGGCUCUUGUCUUGAAACGUGCUUCUGGUGGGGUGUCCUCUUAUGAGACAAUCAAAAUACUUGCUGCGGUAAAUUGUGUUUAAUAUUUGGGGGUCCAGGUUUGCGUGACAUGAUUUCUCCCCAAG